rnacentral:rRNA from 1 species
CAGCCGCCGCGGUAAUACGAAGGGUGCAAGCGUUAAUCGGGAUUACUGGGCGUAAAGCGUGCGUAGGCGGCUUGGUAAGUUAGAGGUGAAAGCCUGGAGCUCAACUCCAGAAUUGCCUUUAAGACUGCCGAGCUAGCAGGUGAGAGAGGUAAGUGGAAUUCCGAGUGUAGAGGUGAAAUUCGUAGAUAUUCGGAAGAACGCCAGUGGCGAAGGCGGCUUACUGGCUCAUACUGGACGCUGAGGUGCGAAAGCGUGGGGAGCAAACAGGAUUAGAUACCCCGUAGUCCCUGUCUCUUAUACA